rnacentral:lncRNA from 1 species
CCCGACAGCCCUUCCCAGCCAUUGGAACUGGAACAGCUCCAAGAGGGAAUACUUAGCAGAUGAAAGAUGUUUGUUUCCAACGUCAUCUAGCUCAAUCUAGCUUGGAUAAACUAAUCCUUUUUGUCAUCCCUCAGACUCAGAUGUGACUGUGUGAUAAGGCCUGACAGUGAACUGUCAGAAUAGCAGGGAAAGCAGACCACUGCUGUCAAACACUUGACUUCUCAGUCCCCCUAGGUCUCUAUUAAUUGAUUAUGAUGCACUUGGGCCAUCAGUCUUUUGAUCUAAAGAGUGGGAGACAGGAGUGUCCAGCAUGUGAGCAGGUUUGAGUGAAGUCUAUCCCAGGCAUUCUCUCAAGAAUCCCUCAUGGAAUAUAUAUCUUCUUGCAGAUAUCUGCCCACAGUCCUGGUCAUGUGUCAGCAGCCAGUAUGAGCUGCUGUGCAUGGGAGGACAACUCCCCAGAGGUGAAAGGACAAUACGGUGUUUGCUCCAAGAAAAUGGAACAGGGAUCUGUCCAUACCAACCAGGCACCUUUGUACAAAAGCAUCAAAGACACCCAGCUGGUCCAGUCCCUUCACCAGGAAUAUCCCUUUAUCCUGCAGUGCUCAGAAAGUGAUGGAUUGAGACACUGGUCCUCUCUGGAGGCAGCAGAACACUCUGUACCACUGCCAUGCUUAGCCAGGAUGGGAGCUGUCCUUGGGCUAAGGUAACAGAGAUCCUUAGGCUCUCUUGGUGUCCCUGCUCUCCUCUGCUCUUCCUGGUCCUGAUUUGCUCUAGCUAGGCUGAUGAUGGACCAUCUCCAUAGGGAAACUGACAUAGAGCCUGCUAAAACAUUGGUAUACUGAGCUGAGCCUACCCUGAGCUGGUGGUGGCUCAAAUGCAAUUCCAAGGCAAUGCUUUAUCUUGGAUUUCUAAAUUACUAACCUAGGCCUCAAAAAAUGGCUAUUUUUGUCUCUCUUAUUGGGUGGUGAGGUCUUGGAACAGAUUGCCUAGGGAAGCUGUGGCUGCGUCAUCCCUGGAAGUGUUCAAUGCCAGGCUGGACAGGACUUGGAACAACCUGGGAUAGUGGAAGGUGUCCCUGCCCAUGGCAGGGGUGGGAUGGGAUUUAAGGUCUCUUCCAACCUAAACCAUUUCAUGGUUUUAUGACAUUUGGACACGGAAGUGUCCCAAAUGCUAGAGCAGCUGACAAAGAAAUUACUAGAAAGUGGAUCUGGUUUUGAUAAACCUGUUUGGAUUUUGGUGUUAAAAUCAUUCUUCGCCUGUAAACUUUGACUCAACCUUAGGUGCAAAUCCAAGGUAGCAGGUCAUAAGGGUCACUGGUAAAACAGGGGAAGGGAGGAUGGAUGUGGACUGAGAGGUCUUUCACACUAGUUACAAACACAAGUGAAGGCAAACAUAGAAGACAGUGACUUUGACAAUCUCAUUCCUGAGAGGAGCCAGGGAACAGCAGGGUCCUUGAACACAAGUCUCACAUCUGUUGAUGGAAAGUUGCACGGUAGGAUUUUUCCAGAAGUAUACCAGGUUAGUCUUCCUGCCUGCAGGAGCCCAUGGUCAUCCUGCUCUGCCUGCAGCCAUGUGAGGACCAUAAGAGCCUGGCCAUGAACCAUUGGUCAGAUCCUCUCACUUGCUGAGCUCAGCAGAACCACAGCAAGGGGGAAGCUGAGAACACUGAGGAUUAUCAGAUGAACAAGAAGCAUCAACUGCAUUCUU